rnacentral:lncRNA from 1 species
AACCCAAAAGUCUCAUCACCCAAAAAACAAAGAUUUAAAAAAAAGAAGAAAAGAAAAACAGUUCUGAAGAGGAUCUAAAAGCAUAUCCACAUCUCCCAAUUUUAAUCAUUUUCAAAUGUCAUAUAUUUGCCCAUUUAUUUCAUCCCUUUCAGUAUGUCCGGUAGUGUUGAAUCUUUCGUAGAGAUUUUUGCUAUUUAAUUUUAAAUUUUAAAUUAGGAUGUAUAAUUAUAUGUACUUAAGAUAUUGCUAUUACUGAUGGUUUCGAUUAAUUUUGUUCUUUUGUGUUUGAUAGAUUAUCAUACAACGGGAGCUCAAACAUUCGAAAGCAAACCGACAACAAAUACUGUCUAUAUAUUCAGCCAAAUAUUGUGUAUGACGUGAAGUUUUCUCAUACUUUAGAGAUCUGAAUAUAUAUUUUGUAUGUGUUGGA